rnacentral:rRNA from 1 species
UUACUCCUACGGGGGGCAGCAGUGGGGGAUAUUGCACAAUGGGGGAAACCCUGAUGCAGCGACGCCGCGUGUGGGAAGACGGUCCUCUGGAUUGUAAACCACUGUCCCCAGGGACGAAGAUGACGGUACCUGGGGAGGAAGCUCCGGCUAACUACGUGCCAGCAGCCGCGGUAAUACGUAGGGAGCGAGCGUUGUCCGGAAUUACUGGGUGUAAAGGGAGCGUAGGCGGGAAUGCAAGUUGGGUGUCAAAUCUACCGGCUCAACCGGUAGCCGCACUCCAAACUGCAGUUCUUGCGUGCAGUAGG